UUGUCUUUAGUUGCCAUCAUUUAGUUGGGCACUCUAAAGAGACUGCCGGUGUCAAACCGGAGGAAGGUGGGGAUGACGUCAAGUCCUCAUGGCCUUUAUGACCAGGGCUACACACGUACUACAAUGGCCGGUACAAAGGGCAGCCACUUAGCGAUAAGGAGCCAAUCCCGUAAAGCCGGUCUCAGUCCGGAUUGGAGUCUGCAACUCGACUCCAUGAAGUUGGAAUCGCUAGUAAUCGCAGAUCAGCACGCUGCGGUGAAUACGUUCCCGGGCCUU
rnacentral:rRNA from 1 species